ensembl:lncRNA
AUGGAUGGACUGUGCAGUAUUGUCCUUGUUCUUUUACUCACAGUAGCAGGAGAUUUCAAUAGUACCCCUGAAGAGGAGAAAAUUAACGUCCAUCUGGAACCAAAGAGCAUUGAAGUUUGUGAAGAAGCUUCAGUCACAUUCAACUGCACUUUUCAGCCUCGUGGACAGUACAAAGUGAGCUGGCAUUAUAGCCAGACACCUUAUUUAGACUGUAAACCAGAAAACAAGAUACCUGAAGGACAGAGAUUUUUUAAAGAGGAAGAUGAAGAUUGGUCAACACUCAACAUUACUUUUAACAAAGCCAAUGAGAGUGGAUGGUACUUCUGCAAGGUUACAAAAGACAUCCCGGUUCUCUUACAAUACUGCAGUAAUGGAACACAGGUUCUGGUGAACAACAUAUGUAGGAUCACUGCCUGUAUACAGUGGCGAGUCGUGGAUAUUAAAUUAGAGGAGGCACCCUAAACUGUAAAUCCCCACCCCUGAUGGUUUUUUUUUUCUAAAAGGGAUAGUUCUCCCAUAAAUGAAGCGUAAAUCUUCGUUCUGAACACAAAUGGAGAUAUUCAAGAGCUUUCUGAUUCUGUAUAGGCAGCAAUACAACUGAAAUGUUCCCAGACCCAGAAACAUAGUAAAGACAUCAGUAAAACAGUCCAGGUGACAUCAGUGGUUCAACCUUAAUUUUACAAAGCAGCGAGAAUACUUUUGGUGCACAAAGAAACAAAAAUAACGACUUUACUCAACAAUUCUUCUCCUCCAAAUGUAAACAAUGCAUGUGUGUGAUGCUGCUGAUGUAGUACACACAUGCGUCAUGAUGCUCUCUAUAAUGGCACCCUGAGCUGAAGCUAAGGAUUAGAAUUGUUGAAUAAAUAUUAAAAGUUAAAGUUAGUCAGUUGUCAGUUGUUUUAAUGGUGAACUAGCUUCCUUCACAUUGUGACACCACUGUGCUUUCAGAUGAGUUAAUUUAUACUGUUUACAAAUGAACUGACUCAAGCUAUGCUCUAGUUUGAUCGUAGACGGCUAUAAUAGCAAGCGUCAGCAUUUGAUGUUAGGAACCUUUUUAAUAAAAGAUGCUAUUUGUUCCUGUUUCAAGGAAUUUGAACUUAAAUCUGGCAUAUUAAUUGUCCUUUCCUUUCAAAUUCAUUGUCUCCUGUAACAUCUCUCUCUGUGUGUAGUUGAAAUGUGCUUUACACAUUUGCCUCAGCUCUUGUUGAAUUUAAACAAGGAUGAUGGCCACUUUUUCUCACUGAUAUUUAAUUACAUGAGUAUUUAACUCUGCUUUUACUGUAUGCAAUGCACAAUGUUUGCAAUAUGUAUUUUAAAUUAAAGACUCAAUUAUACAUAUGUUUCCUUUACUUGCAUUGAUUUUUAUAUACAUUAUGCAGUACAAACACAAGCAAAAUAUUUGACACGUAGGAAAAAUAGGGUUUCAAUCUGAGGUUCAAUUUAGUGGCUUUGGCUUGCCCUUAAGUUCCAUCAGGCUUUUUCAGAUACUUAAAAAAAAAAAAAAAAAAUAUGCCGAAAGUUCCCUCACCCUAAGGCUAUUCAACAUGUAGAUGAGUUUGUUUCUUCAUCAGAGCAGAUUUGGAGUAAUUAUCAUUUCAUCACUUGCUCACCAAUGGGUCCUCUGCGGUGAAUGGGUGCCGUGAGAAUGAGAGUGCAAAAGAGCUGAUGAAAAAUAUUACUAAUUCGCAAGUACUCCAGUACAUCAGAUAAAAUCUUGUGAAGUGAAAAAAAUAAACUUUUUUUGUAUUAAAAACAAGCCAAUUAAGACAUUUUAACACAUUUAUAUCGCUUCUAGACAAAAUAAUUGAUGAACUGGAGUUAUGGUGAUUAAUUGUCGAUUCUUGUGAUGUUUUUAACAGCUGUUUUGACUCUCGUUCUGAUGGCACCCAUUCACUAAUUUCUAGUAGACUCUUUUACAGGAAGACGCCACCAGAAGCUAUUUAUAUAACACUUACAUAUAUGCAUAACCACACAGGAACCCAUUUACUGUAAGUAUUUCUGCCAGACUUCACCAGCUUUAACCAUCACGAGUGAAUGAGAAAGCUUCAGGUGUCCUCAUAUAAAGACUCCAGGUGAUGUUUUUGAUCGGUGCAAGUUGAAUUAAUCAUUUGCAGUAACUUCACUGUCGUCUCUUGUUUUACUGUUGUUUCGUUUAAUCUCAGGGUGAUUUCAAAUAUUAUUCUGUAACCGUGUCCAACUUGAACAUGGAUCGACUGUGCCGUACAAUCUUUCUUCUUUUAGUUAUAGGUAAGUGAGAUUUAUAUGAACAGCCUAAACAAUUUUUAUGUAAUCAUGUAGAGAGUGAAAUAUCUUGAGAAAUAUAUAUGAUUGGGGCAAGUCACAGAGGCUUUAUUUCACUAAAAAGUC